rnacentral:rRNA from 1 species
GUCGGGAGUUAGGAAAUGCAAGGGCGUUAAUAGCGCCUUUGUUUGACUAAGGCUCCAGAGGAAGCCACGGCUAACUCUGUGCCAGCAGCCGCGGUAAUACAGAGGCGGCAAGCGUUGUACGGAAUUAUUGGGCGUAAAGAGCACGUAGGCGGCCUUGCAAGUCAGUUGUGAAAGCCUUCCGCUCAACGGAAGAAUGCCGGCUGAUACUACAGGGCUUGAGUACGGGAGGGGAGAGUGGAACUUCUGGU